CCUACGGGAGGCAGCAGUGAGGAAUAUUGGUCAAUGGGCGGGAGCCUGAACCAGCCAAGUCGCGUGAGGGACGACGGUCCUAUGGAUUGUAAACCUCUUUUGUCGGGGAACAAAGGCGCCCACGGGUGUGCGGAUGAGUGUACCCGAAGAAAAAGCAUCGGCUAACUCCGUGCCAGCAGCCGCGGUAAUACGGAGGAUGCGAGCGUUAUCCGGAUUUAUUGGGUUAAAGGGGUGCGUAGGCGGACAGUAAAGUAAGCGGUAAAAAUGGGGUGCUCAACGCCGAACAGCCGUUGAUACUGGCAGUCUUGAGAGGGCGUGAGGUAGGCGGAAUGCAUGGUGUAGCGGUGAAAUGCAUAGAGAUCACACAGAACUCCGAUUGCGAAGGCAGCAUACCAAGGCCCGUCUGACGCUGAGGCACGAAAGCGUGGGUAGCGAACAGGAUUAGAUACCCCAGUAGUC
rnacentral:rRNA from 1 species